rnacentral:lncRNA from 1 species
AGAUUCACUCAACUCAUCCCGGUGCACACAUAUGCACACCCGGGCUCUUCCCGCUCUGCUUCCUGAAGCAUAGGAGGAAGAAAGGCUGGUCGCGCCCUAUUCAAAGCAGUUGAAUAAUACAAGGGGCGUUCAUUGAUGAGACUGAGUUGUGUCUAUCCCAGUUCACCUUGGCAGCCUCCUUCUCGGACUUUUUUAGGAUCCUCACUUUGAAGGCAGAGAGGAAGGAAGGGAAGUACCCAAAUCUUGGUGUGAGAACUCUUAGGGUGCUUUCAGCUACUUGCUCUUACAUUAGCAAAGCACUGCUAUCUGACUUUCGCGAAAGACAACAAAAACCUCUCCAGACAGGCACCAGUUGUUGGACCAGGGUGGAUAAGGUGCCUGGUGCGGAUUGCUAGCUAAAAGACGUGGUGUUUAACCUUCUUCCCUACUCAUACGAUCUCCAGCAUGUGGGGGAAGUCAGCAGCUAGAAGCCUCCAUUGGCAACCGGCCCAUCAAAAUUCAUUAGGAACACCAUGAGAAAGGUCAAGUGAAGUGAAGCCUGGGCCUUCAAGCCACCUCCACUGCUCAUUCUGUGUUCAGGCCAGCCAAUGCAAACAACACUUACUCCUGCAGACUCCGAACAGUCUUGGAAGGAGCAAAGGAAGCUACAGCGCUGCUGCAGGACUGGGCUAGACCUUAUCUGCUGAGCAGAGUUCCUGGAGUCUGGUGAUAUGCAUUAAGGAAGCAUUGGCCUGGACCACUAGCAUUACCGUCUUGAACCUUUGCCUCGGCAAAGCUUCCAUCAGCUCAUAGCACUUCACUACGGACAGUGGUCUGCCCUCUCUAAAGAAAGGCAGUAGGAAACAAUGGACUGUGUGCUUCUGUAAUUUACAAAUUGACUGUGUUCCCAAACAUCAAUUCAGGCCAUCACUCAAUUCAAGCUAAAGGCCUGGGCUUCCAAAGUUCUGUGCUGUUCUUCAAAUAAAUAAAUCUCCACAUCCCGAGUGUAGAUAAACAGCCACUACAGGUGAAAUCCAGUUGUGGCUUCAAGGUUUUAAAUCAGAAAUCUGCUGUGGAAAGAAAUGCUUGCAAUCUGGAUCUUUUUUUUUUUUUUUUUUUUUUUUUUUUUAAUUUUACUUUCCUGGCUCUGUGUGUGGUGGCUGCUCCGUGGCUCAAUCAGUCGUGGGCAGGGGAGCUCAGGGUGGAUUUUCAGGAGACAGCCUGUGUUUAGACUGAAGGAGAUAUUUGGGACCCACAGAAGUGAGCCCUUCUCCUUUCACUCCUGUUUGCGAUGUGUCACAGUGGGGACUGCUAAUUCCCACCAGAGGCUAGUGUGUGUAUGUUUUCCAGUCCUCGUGGGUGAGCUUGGCAGUCAACACAGUGACUUAGACAUUGAAUGGGAGGCAUUCAUCAUGUUGAAGUCAGACAUCUAAGAGCAGCAAGUAUUUAUGAUGUGUUUAGAAUAAUAGGAAGUAAAAGCUUUUAUAAACAUGAAUCUUUAUGAAGAAUUAAAAAUUUUUAAAUGUGCUUAGACAUGUCUUUCUUUUGGAAAUUUUUUCCCUGAUAUCUCAUCUAAGACUCUCUUCCUUUCCCUGUCCCUGUCCCCUCUCCCUUCUGUUCUCCUUCUCCCUCCCUCCUUCCCUCCCCUCCCCCUCUCUUUUGCUUGUUUGCUUGCUUGCUUCCAUAGAUCAAUAUGUAGCCCUCUCUGGUCUGGAACUCAUGUAUACCAGGCUGGCCUUGAACUCACAGAGAGACCUUUCUGCUUAUUAAAGCUAAAGCCAGCUGCUUCAUAGAACUCGUUAAAUAGUGGCUUGAGCUCCAGUAAACCACCAAUCAAAGAAAACACAUGAUGGGACUCAUGGCUCUAGCUUUAUGUAGCAGAGGAUGGCUUAGUAGGUCAUCAAUGGGAGGAAAGGCCCUUGGUCCUGUGAAGGUUCUAUGCCCCAGUAUAGGGAAAUGCCAGGGCAAGGAAGCAGGAGUGGGUGGGUUGGUGAGCAGGGGGUGGGAGGUGGGGUGGGGAUGCAGGGGUAGAAGAUUUUCAGAAGGGAAACUAGAAAAGGGGAUAACAUUUGACAUGUAAAUAAAGAAAAUAUCUAAUAAUAAAUA